GGCCGUGCUGGCGGACGGCCAUCUCCGGCGGCUGGCGCGCGCCGGAUUCGACGUGUUCGAUGCGCGUCUUGGCCA
rnacentral:tRNA from 1 species